GACGAACGCUGGCGGCGUGCUUAACACAUGCAAGUCGAGCGAGAAACUUCGGUUUCUAGCGGCGGACGGGUGAGUAACACGUGGGCAACCUGCCUCACAAUGGGGGAUAGCCUUCCGCACGGAAGAUUAAUACCGCAUAACACAAAGGAAACGCAUGUUUCUUUUGCCAAAGAAUUUCGUUGUGAGAUGGGCCCGCGGCGCAGUAGCUUGUUGGUGAGGUAACGGCUCACCAAGGCGACGAUGCGUAGCCGACCUGAGAGGGUGAUCGGCCACAUUGGAACUGAGACACGGUCCAGACUCCUACGGGAGGCAGCAGUGGGGAAUAUUGCACAAUGGAGGAAACUCUGAUGCAGCAACGCCGCGUGAGUGAUGAAGGUCUUCGGAUUGUAAAGCUCUGUCUUCUGGGACGAUAAUGACGGUACCAGAGGAGGAAGCCACGGCUAACUACGUGCCAGCCGCCGCCGUAA
rnacentral:rRNA from 1 species